rnacentral:rRNA from 1 species
CUACGUGCCAGCAGCCGCGGUAAUACGGAAGGUCCAGGCGUUAUCCGGAUUUAUUGGGUUUAAAGGGAGCGUAGGCUGGAGAUUAAGUGUGUUGUGAAAUGUAGACGCUCAACGUCUGAAUUGCAGCGCAUACUGGUUUCCUUGAGUACGCACAACGUUGGCGGAAUUCGUCGUGUAGCGGUGAAAUGCUUAGAUAUGACGAAGAACUCCGAUUGCGAAGGCAGCUGACGGGAGCGCAACUGACGCUUAAGCUCGAAGGUGCGGGUAUCAAACAGGAUUAGAUACCCUGGUAGUCCGCACAGUAAACGAUGGAUGCCCGCUGUUGGUACCUGGUAUCAGCGGCUAAGCGAAAGCAUUAAGCAUCCCACCUGGGGAGUACGCCGGCAACGGUGAAACUCAAAGGAAUUGACGGGGGCCCGCACAAGCGGAGGAACAUGUGGUUUAAUUCGAUGAUACGCGAGGAACCUUACCCGGGCUUGAAUUGCAGAGGAAGGAUUUAGAGAUAAUGACG